AGCUAUGUUUCUUUUUCACAGGACAGAGAGAUCGACAACUUGCUGCCCCCCCCCUGACCUCUACAUUGACCCUCGGGCCUGAGAACUGCUCUACUAUGUCCAGAGCUUUUUUUUUUUUCCAAGUUGAUUAGAGAGCCAAGAGGAACAGAGAACAGACAGAAGCUACCAUGAGGCCUAGGAGCACCAGGAGGAGGAAUCUGCAGAUACUGCUGCUGUGGACCAUGAUGGCUGCGAGGGAUGAGCUUCAGACAAGAGCAAACCAAGAGUCUCCGAAAACUCCUCGAGUGGUAACUUCAAACGAGUAACUGACCCCGGGAGAGGAGCAGGAGGAGAGUACAGGAGAGCGUGAGGAGAGGUAGGCAACAGAGGGGGUUGAGAGAGAAGGGGUGGGGACUAGGUGUGCACAGGACUGUCUGGACAGUGUGGACUUUGUGAGCACAUCAUCGCAGGGCACACCCACCCCAAACUCCUCCGGACACAUAGUUGGGUGUGAGGGGUAAACAUUCAGUAGCCGCUGACCUUGGCCAGGUCACAUCACGAAGGUCUCUACUGGACAUUUUGCUCAU